rnacentral:rRNA from 1 species
GCCGCGUGAGUGAAGAAGGUUUUCGGAUCGUAAAGCUCUGUUGUUAAGGAAGAACGAGUGUGAGAAUGGAAAGUUCAUACUGUGACGGUACUUAACCAGAAAGGGACGGCUAACUACGUGCCAGCAGCCGCGGUAAUACGUAGGUCCCGAGCGUUGUCCGGAUUUAUUGGGUGUAAAGCGAGCGCAGGCGGUUAGAAAAGUCUGAAGUGAAAGGCAGUGGCUCAACCAUUGUAGGCUUUGGAAACUGUUUAACUUGAGUGCAGAAGGGGAGAGUGGAAUUCCAUGUGUAGCGGUGAAAUGCGUAGAUAUAUGGAGGAACACCGGUGGCGAAAGCGGCUCUCUGGUCUGUAACUGACGCUGAGGCUCGAAAGCGUGGGGAGCGAACAGGAUUAGAUACCCUGGUAGUCCACGCCGUAAACGAUGAGUGCUAGGUGUUAGGUCCUUUCCGGGACUUAGUGCCGCAGCUAACGCAUUAAGCACUCCGCCUGGGGAGUACGACCGCAAGGUUGAAACUCAAAGGAAUUGACGGGGGCCCGCACAAGCGGUGGAGCAUGUGGUUUAAUUCGAAGCAACGCGAAGAACCUUACCAGGUCUUGACAUCCCGAUGCUAUUUCUAGAGAUAGGAAGUUUCUUCG